AACGAACGCUGGCGGCAUGCCUAACACAUGCAAGUCGAACGAGACCUUCGGGUCUAGUGGCGCACGGGUGCGUAGCGCGUGGGAAUCUGCCCCUCGGUUCGGAACAACAGUCAGAAAUGACUGCUAAUACCGGAUAAUGACGAAAGUCCAAAGAUUUAUCGCCGAGGGAUGAGCCCGCGUAGGAUUAGCUUGUUGGUGGGGUAAUGGCCCACAAGGCGACGAUCCUUAGCUGGUCUGAGAGGAUGAUCAGCCACACUGGGACUGAGACACGGCCCAGACUCCUACGGGAGGCAGCAGUGGGGAAUAUUGGACAAUGGGCGAAAGCCUGAUCCAGCAAUGCCGCGUGAGUGAUGAAGGCCUUAGGGUUGUAAAGCUCUUUUACCAGGGAUGAUAAUGACAGUACCGUGAGAAUAAGCUCGGCUAACUCCGUGCCAGCAGCCGACGGUAAU
rnacentral:rRNA from 1 species